rnacentral:rRNA from 1 species
GACAGAGGGUGCAAACGUUGCUCGGAUUUACUGGGCGUAAAGCGCAUGUAGGCGGGCAAAUAAGUCGGGUGUGAAAUCCCUGGGCUCAACCUAGGAACUGCAUCCGAAACUGUUUACCUUGAGUAGUGGAGAGGAAAGCGGAAUUCCGGGUGUAGAGGUGAAAUUCGUAGAUAUCCGGAGGAACACCAGUGGCGAAGGCGGCUUUCUGGACACUAACUGACGCUGAGAUGCGAAAGCGUGGGGAGCAAACAGG